GUGGUGGCAAGCCUAGUGGGGCUGCUGGGGGAUGGCACACAGUGCAGAGCAGAGACAAGCCAGCCCCGAGCCCGCCUGACCUCCAAGCCCACAGGCUGGAGCUGCCCAAUGAGCCAUUGUCGACUACAGCAUCGCAAGAUGGGAGCACAGGUGGGGUGGUUGAAGCUGCUCACUCUGGGUUGGUGUCAAACAGGCAAGGGAAGGGGUGCAGGUUGGGGAUCUAGCGGCGUCCAUCUCAGGUUGAGAUGCACUUUUUAAAGGAGUUGGGAUGAUUAAUAUUCAAGAUGAUAAUAGAAUUUAGAUAUUUAAGAAGACAAAACUGAAUUAAGACAGAAAUGAGAAAAGCAUUCUCUCUUACCCCUU
rnacentral:lncRNA from 1 species